rnacentral:rRNA from 1 species
GACGAACCGUGCGAACGUUGUUCGGAAUCACUGGGCUUAAAGGGCGCGUAGGCGGCUUGCCAAGUCAGGGGUGAAAUCCUGCAGCUCAACUGUAGAAGUGCCUUUGAUACUGGCGAGCUCGAGGGAGGUAGGGGUCGCUGGAACUUCUGGUGGAGCGGUGAAAUGCGUUGAUAUCAGAAGGAACGCCGGUGGCGAAAGCGAGCGACUGGAUCUCUACUGACGCUGAGGCGCGAAAGCUAGGGGAGCAAACGGG